UAGGGAAUCUUCGGCAAUGGACGAAAGCCUGAUCGAGCAACGCCGCGUGAGUGAAGAAGGUUUUCGGAUCGUAAAACACUGUUGUUAGAGAAGAACAAGGACGUUAGUAACUGUACGUCCCUUGACGGUAUCUAACCAGAGAGCCACGGCUAACUACGUGCCAGCAGCCGCGGUAAUACGUAGGUGGCAAGCGUUGUUCGGAGUUAUUGGGCGUAAAGCGAGCGCAGGCGGUUUCUUAAGUCAGAUGUGAAAGCCCCCGGCUCAACCGGGGAGGGUCAUUGGAAACUGGUUAACUUGAGUGCAGGAGAGGGGAGUGGAAUUCCAGGUGUAGCGGUGAAAUGCGUAGAUAUAUGGAGGAACACCAGUGGCGAAGGCGGCUCUCUGGUCUAUUACUGACGCUGAGGCUCGAAAGCGUGGGGAGCAAACAGG
rnacentral:rRNA from 1 species